GACGAACGCUGGCGGCGUGCCUAAUACAUGCAAGUUGAGCGAUGAAGAUUGGUGCUUGCACCAAUUUGAAGAGCAGCGAACGGGUGAGUAACGCGUGGGGAAUCUGCCUUUGAGCGGGGGACAACAUUUGGAAGCGAAUGCUAAUACCGCAUAACAACUUUAAACAUAAGUUUUAAGUUUGAAAGAUGCAAUUGCAUCACUCAAAGAUGAUCCCGCGUUGUAUUAGCUAGUUGGUGAGGUAAAGGCUCACCAAGGCGAUGAUACAUAGCCGACCUGAGAGGGUGAUCGGCCACAUUGGGACUGAGACACGGCCCAAACUCCUACGGGGGGCAGCAGUAGGGAAUCUUCGGCAAUGGAAGAAAGUCUGACCGAGCAACGCCGCGUGAGUGAAGAAGGGUUUCGGAUCGUAAAACUCUGUUGGUAGAGAAGAACGUUGGUGAGAGUGGAAAGCUCAUCAAGUGACGGUAACUACCCAGAAAGGGACGGCUAACUACGUG
rnacentral:rRNA from 1 species